GGUCGGUCCGUCCACCAGGUGGUUUCCGGAUGAUAACUCAAGAACGCAUACGCCUAGGAUCAUGAAACUUCAUAGGUAGAUUGAUCAUGACUCGCAGAUGACCCCUAUUGAUUUUGAGGUCACUAGGUCAAAGGUCAAGGUCACGGUGACCCGAAAUAGUAAAAUGGUUUCCGGAUGAUAACUCAAGAAUGCAUACGCCUAGGAUCAUGAAACUUCAUGGGUAGAUUGAUCAUGACUUGCAGAUGACCCCUAUUGAUUUUGAGGUCACUAGGUCAAAGGUCAAGGUCAAGGUGACCCGAAAUAGUAAAAUGGUUUCCGGAUGAUAACUCAAGAAUGCAUACGCCUAGGAUCAUGAAACUUCAUGGGUAGAUUGAUCAAGACUCGCAGAUGACCCCUAUUGAUUUUGAGGUCACUAGGUCAAAGGUCAAGGUCACGGUGACCCGAAAUAGUAAAAUGGUUUUCGGAUGAUAACUCAAGAACGCAUAUGCCUAGGAUCAUGAAACUUCAUAGGUAGAUUGAUCAUGACUCGCAGAUGACCCCUAUUGAUUUUGAGGUCACAAGAUCAAAGGUCAAGGUCACGGUGACCCGAAAUAGUAAAAUGAUUUUCGGAUGAUAACUCAAGAACGCUUUUGCCUAGGAUCAUGACACUUCAUAGGUACAUUGAUCGUGACUCGCAGAUGACCCCUAUUGAUUUUCAGGUCACUAGUUUAUUCUGUUUUCACACUGUCCAGUAAAGAGACUUACAAAUUGAAUUUUUGACACAUGUUCAUUCAUAAUGAUGUAUAAGCCUUUGUUUCUGUGCCAGUAAAUACUAUGUUUAUGGAAAUGACGUGAGAAUUCAACAUUUAAAAAACCAAUGUAAUAUGAUAUGUAAUAUUAUAUGGCAACAGGACAGUUGUGAUUUGCUGGGUCAAUUCUAUUUAGCUUGACCAUCCAAGCGGUUGAUAGCUUUGACAAACUGGUGGUCUGAAACAUUGAGAAAAUGUCACGAUUCACUGACAAUAAAUCAAACAUGUAAUUCUUGCUACGCAACUUGCAUUUAAUUUUGUCAAUUCAAUUUAUACAUAAAAAUAUAAUUAAUUUUUAAUCUGCUUGUAAAUUGAAAAACAGCAACACAGUUUGUAUGUAUAAAACAAUGUUAAUACAUAAAUAGGAUCAAGCAUAUUAAAAUAUCAACUUAGAUUUAGUUUCCUUUACUGUACAGGAUUUGUAAAGUUAGGUUAAUAUUUGUGUAUUGAACAAAAAUAACAACAGUGUAAAGAAAAGUUAAUUUGGGGAUGUUCUAUCCAAACCCUGAGAGUUCAGAUUUCCUCAAAUGCCAAGUAAAGAUUGUAAAUUUCAACCCACUCCUCUGGUUAGUUUUCAGAGGCACAUAUAAUUAACUUUUGAGCUUAGUGUCUCAUUUGUACAUGCAUUACUGUAUUAACUCCAAAUCAACUAGUACAAGUGGUAGGCCAGUAUUACAUGGACUGGUGUUCACUGUUUACACAGUUUCACAACCCCAUCUGAUACUGGUCAGUAUCUUGGCAAGUGGCCAAAGUUGGGAGCGGAAUUAAUGGUCUAUUACAUAACUGACUUCUGUGUGUGGUAAACACGGAUACUGGUCAUGUGGUCAAGUUGCACUUGUAUACAUUUGCCCAAUACACAACACUAGCCUUGGCUAUUUUUAAUCAGAUUGCAUUGCUAGCUAUGGUGGUCAUUGACUAGGGGAGUUAACUGCUAUAAAUAACAUGUUUCAUUACCAUUAAUAAAUAAAACAUUACAAAUUGUGUGCACGUUUCACAUAUUGUCAAAUAAGUCAAAAUGUGUGAAAGGAAUCCAAAAAAUCAAAGACUCAAUCAUAUAAUGGAUAUAAUUGAUUAGUAUAGGUCCUGAUUGGUUUUUGCACUAUUAAUUGGAUACAUUUCACAGGUCAUUGAUAUACAGUGACAAAAAACAUAUUCACACAAUGGCUGUCACUACAACGGAGAGCCCAUAUGGGGGGCAUGCAUGUUUUACAAACAGCCC